GUACACACCGCCCGUCGCUACUACCGAUUGAAUGGUUUAGUGAGAUCUUCGGAUUGGUCCGGAGGUGGCCGCAAGGUUGCCCCUAGGUUCCGAGAAGAUGAUCAAACUUGAUCAUUUAGAGGAAGUAAAAGUCGUAACAAGGUUUCCGUAGGUAACCUGCAGAAGGAUCA
rnacentral:rRNA from 1 species